AACGAACGCUGGCGGCAUGCCUAACACAUGCAAGUCGAACGAGACCUUCGGGUCUAGUGGCGCACGGGUGCGUAACGCGUGGGAACCUGCCCUUAGGUUCGGAAUAACUCCCCGAAAGGGGUGCUAAUACCGGAUAAUGUCUUCGGACCAAAGAUUUAUCGCCUUUGGAUGGGCCCGCGUUGGAUUAGCUAGUUGGUAGGGUAAAAGCCUACCAAGGCGACGAUCCAUAGCUGGUCUGAGAGGAUGAUCAGCCACACUGGGACUAAGACACGGCCCAGACUCCUACGGGAGGCAGCAGUGGGGAAUAUUGGACAAUGGGCGAAAGCCUGAUCCAGCAAUGCCGCGUGAGUGAUGAAGGCCUUAGGGUUGUAAAACUCUUUUACCCGGGAUGAUAAUGACAGUACCGGGAGAAUAAGCUCCGGCUAACUCCGUG
rnacentral:rRNA from 1 species